GAAAAGUUAGUUAAUUAAUAAUAUGAGCUUGUCAAGCUCAAGUAAUUCCGUUGGAACACUUUUUG
rnacentral:tRNA from 1 species